AUUUUUCAAAUUCUAUAUGCAAAAUAAGAUCAUGUAACGUGGGUGUCGGAGGCCUCGAUAACAUAGAUUAUAUAUAUAUUUUGACAACUAUUAUGAGAUGUAUUAACAAUUAUUCUCUGGUCCAUCAUAAUUCAUGCUUCCGAUUCAUCACAAAGAUAAAGUUAAGAGAAUCUGAAUCGCUUGUCUUUUCAGUUUAUGCGCUUUGUAUGCUUUUUGUAAAUAUCCCAUUCUUUUUUUUAAUUUUUAAUUUUUUUGGUUUGCAUAUUCUAUUUAUUCUUUGUGUGCUCAAGCGCAUGGAAUUUUGCAGUUUCCUCAGGGUUGGGAUCAGACGUUUUUUAAUCAGCAUUAUUGAUUGUAUUUUGCCAGAUUUUGACUUGAAUGCUAGAAGUGUUCCAAUUUUUUUAAUUUCUAUUACAUUGGAGUGCAGAACAUCUGGAGGAGGCAGCCGCUGCAUCGAGCGGAGGGUUCCUCGAAAAUGGGUGCCCAAUAAAGAGAAGUGGGUGGGGGUUGGUAUGGGGGUUGGGCUAAUUGACCUGCCCAAAUCAAGCUGGCCUUGGCUCCAAUUGCACUCAAUCCCGGUGGUAGCUACUAGAUGAGAGUUGUCUGGAGAAGUUCUUAUUUGCUUGGAAUCUUCUCGACUACUUAAUCAAUGGUGACAUUCUAUGUCAACCCCAGGAUGCUACUAUUCACUCAAAUACCUGACUCAUAACGUGCCGGAUCUGCUUGUAAUAUACGAGAUAAAAUCAUCCUUAGACACACGCAAGGACUCAGUUCUCGAUCUAUAUGCAAAAUGUAUUGAUUUAAUAAGAAGGUGGCUGCCAUUAUCAUUUGGAAUUUGAAAUUUGAAAUUGCUGGCCGUUGUAGGUCUAAAGUCAUUAUUAUUUUGCUUUUGAAUCUUUUUGUGUAAAAUUAUAACUCUUUUGACCGACCCCACCAAAUACAAAGCUCAAAAGAAUUAGGGUUUAUUUGAGAUUGUCUU
rnacentral:lncRNA from 1 species